GAUGAACGCUAGCGGGAGGCCUAACACAUGCAAGCCGAGCGGUAUUGUUUCUUCGGAAAUGCGAGAGCGGCGUACGGGUGCGUAACACGUGUGCAACCUGCCUUUAUCUGGGGGAUAGCCUUUCGAAAGGAAGAUUAAUACUCCAUAAUAUAUUGAACGGCAUCGUUUAAUAUUGAAAGCUCCGGCGGAUAGAGAUGGGCACGCGCAAGAUUAGCUAGUUGGUGAGGUAACGGCUCACCAAGGCGAUGAUCUUUAGGGGGCCUGAGAGGGUGAUCCCCCAAACUGGUACUGAGACACGGACCAGACUCCUACGGGAGGCAGCAGUGAGGAAUAUUGGUCAAUGGGUGCAAGCCUGAACCAGCCAUCCCGCGUGAAGGACGACUGCCCUAUGGGUUGUAAACUUCUUUUGUAUAGGGAUAAACCUACCCUCGAGAGGGUAGCUGAAGGUACUAUACGAAUAAGCACCGGCUAACUCCGUG
rnacentral:rRNA from 1 species